UGUACCCUAGUACAAUUUAUGUGACAGUACUCUAUCUCUUACUCGUUUAAAUAUGAAAUCCUUGCUCGAAUCCCACUGAAAAAGGAACCAUUCUGGAGUAGUCAUGACAAAUAUCGGCAGCGGUUGAUUUUAAGGGAUCACGUAAUUACACUGUAGCACAGGUAUUACAAUUAAUUGUAAUAAUUCAGUUACACUGUAACAACAACAUGUAACUGGUAGUAAUCGCAUUCUGUAAUUACUGGGAUGUAACAACGGAAUGCUUGUUAUCAUGCUUGUUACAAAUGUUAAAGUUUUUGAAAGCAUCUCAAUACCCAUAUUUCAGCCUUCCCAAGUGGUAAGUGUUAGCCAAUUGAAAACCGACCACCUCAUUGACACAGCUCUGCAAUUAAAGGGCUCUGAAGUCUGAUGCCCAGGCCCAAUGGCAAAAACGGGUUCACAAACGUUUCACAUGAAAACUACUUUAAAUUGUUACAUCUUUAAAAUGACUUUAAGCAUCAAUUCAACCAUUUUAGACACAUUAAUAAAAAUUGUGAGAUAGUAAUGCCAGAUAGUGCUUGUCAAAUUGUAAACCUAUUAAGAUUAGUUGAAUAAUGGUUUAUAAAUCCACUUAAAAUGAUCAAAGACAAAUUCUUAUUCCAUAAUUUAACCUUCCAAGAGUUUCACUCUUUAGGAACAGUCUCCCUUUUGGAAGCAUCAUGUUAAGAUCUGCCCAUCUGCACAACACGCUUAAAAUAAGGACAACCUACAACGUGCCCACGUGUUGAUACUGACAUUAUGUUACAGUGUGAAAGAAUGGGGUCGAGUUCGAAGGUCAGUGUGCAGAAUCAAGACAUGAAAGAUUACAGCGAAAGAAACAAUGUUGUAGGUCAAAAAUGUAAAUACAGGAGAGAGAAAGUUUUCUCCAGUGUGCCAGUGGCCAUUGUAGCUGUCUGGAUGGUUAGUGUCAGAUGAUCCUGCAGGUGAAGAAGCCGGAUGUGGAGGUCCUGGGCUGGCGUGGUUACACGUGGUGAGGCCGGGUGGACGUACUGCCAAAUUCUCUAAAAUGACGUUGGAGGCUGCUUAAGAUUGCCACAAGGUCUCAGACUCCAGGAUGGGAAAUGCUUACAAGAAAGAAACAGAGUUGUCUGAGACAGAGUUGGCAAUUUCCAUUGUUACUUGUAAUGUCAUAAAGGGAAGAAAAAGACAAUCCCAUUUUUCCAAAUGAGCCAUCUAAGCUACUUACCAUACUAUAGGCAAAAGAUAUGAGACAUCACUAGAAUAGUUAUUUUUAUGUUAUUGAGAAAGGCUAUGUAUCUUUGAUUAAUCCAAUUAAUCUAUUAAUCGAACAAUAAAAUGUUGCAAUAAAGU